UACGUAGGGUGCAAGCGUUGUCCGGAAUUAUUGGGCGUAAAGAGCUUGUAGGCGGUUUGUCGCGUCUGCUGUGAAAACUCGGGGCUUAACCCCGGGCCUGCAGUGGGUACGGGCAGACUAGAGUGCGGUAGGGGAGACUGGAAUUCCUGGUGUAGCGGUGAAAUGCGCAGAUAUCAGGAGGAACACCGAUGGCGAAGGCAGGUCACUGGGCCGCAACUGACGCUGAGGAGCGAAAGCAUGGGGAGCGAACAGG
rnacentral:rRNA from 1 species